rnacentral:rRNA from 1 species
CCUACGGGAGGCAGCAGUGAGGAAUAUUGGUCAAUGGACGAGAGUCUGAACCAGCCAAGUAGCGUGAAGGAUGACUGCCCUAUGGGUUGUAAACCUCUUUUAUAUGGGAAUAAAAUGUUCCACGUGUGGGAUUUUGUAUGUACCCCAUGAAUAAGGCACGGCCAACCCCGUGCCAGCAGCCGCGGUAAUACGGAGGAUCCGAACGUUUUCCGGAUUUAUUGGGUUUAAAGGGAGCGUAGGUGGAUUGUUAAGUCAGUUGUGAAAGUUUGCGGCUCAACCGUAAAAGUGCAGUUGAAACUGGCAGUCUUGAGUACAGUAGAGAUGGGCGGAAUUCGUGGUGUAGCGGUGAAAUGCUAAGAUAUCACGAAGAACUCCGAUUGCGAAGGCAGUUCACGGGACUGCAACUGACACUGAGGCUCGAAAGUGUGGGUAUCAAACAGGAUUAGAUACCCUUGUAGUC